rnacentral:tRNA from 1 species
GCCCGCGUAGCUCAGGGGAUAGAGCAACUGCCUCCUAAGCAGUAGGUCGCAGGUUCGAUUCCUGCCGCGGGCG